UUGCAAUUUCUGAGCAGUUUUGUCCGGAAGACUGUGCUCAGGUUAUGACGACUAAUCCCAAACCGAACAAGGCAUUAAAGGUAAAGGAGGAGUCAGGAGAGAAUGCCCCAGUGCUGAGUGAUGAUGAACUCGUGUCAAUGUCUGUACGGGAGCUGAACCAGCACCUGAGGGGUCUCACCAAAGAGGAGGUCAUCCGUCUGAAGCAGCGGAGGCGCACGCUGAAGAACCGGGGCUACGCCGCCAGCUGCCGCAUCAAGCGGGUGACUCAGAAAGAGGAGCUGGAGAGGCAGCGGGUCGAGCUGCAGCAAGAGGUGGAGAAGCUGGCCAGAGAGAACAGCAGCAUGAAGCUAGAGCUGGACGCCUUGCGCUCCAAGUACGAAGCACUCCAGACCUUUGCUCGUACCGUGGCGCGAGGGCCCAUCACCCCGACCAAAGUUGCCACCACCAGUGUCAUCACCAUUGUGAAAUCAGCCGAAAUCUCGUCCAGUUCUGUGCCGUUCUCAGCAGCGUCCUAGUGCCCCCGGUGGGGGGAACUAGCAGCCUUUCAGAGGGGAGGGGAUAAGGCUCUUAUGCAUUGUUCCGGAGUCCUUGGUCACAUCAAGAAUUGGCAGUUUUAACGAUUCUCUUCCAAAAGUGCAAAAAAUCGAAAAAAAGAAAAGGAAAACAAAAACCAACCAAACUCCAAACCUACAAAGGGAACUUAACUGGCUGCUUCUGUCUGGACUCGGUGGCUCCAUCGACCUCUCGUGUCCGGGAUUUGAGCUCUGUAUGCAGUACCGAUUGCAAGAUCUGCUUCCUCCUUCCCCCUGCCUCCCUGAACCCCUCUCAGCCGUGGGCAGCUUUCCCACUGGGAGAAGAUAACCUGAGGAGCCUCCGGAGUCUUCGUGAAUGAUGCUCAAGAGCCAGGAAACAGAUGGACCGUAGAAGUCAUCAUGUGAGAUGAAUCUUAAGGGAAGGAGGCACAGUAAAUGCUGUGAAGAGCUGUGUGAUGGAGCGGGGGGGAGAGGGGGAGACGAGGAGGACAAACGCUGCGAGUGUUAGCGGGUGGCGGCAGAACUGGCUGCGAGAAGGUGGGAUCGGCACUAGGAGAAGGGGCUUGUGCAGAGUAUUUCGGAAAGAUGGUUUUUAAAGCACUGAAGUGUAACGAGAGGGCAGGAGCGUUCAGACGGGAGGAGAGAAGUUAUAGAGGCUCCUCCUUGCCAAAAGCAUUGGUAGGUUAGCGGUGAACGUCCCAGCUGGAGAGCUGGGCUCACCAGUCUUUGAUGACCGGAGAAGGGCUAUGGGGAGGUCGGAUGGGAGCUGGAAGAGACUUUUCCUCUCCGUGGCACGUCAGGCGCUGAAGUUGGGAUCCAAAGAGUAGAGUGAACAACCCUCAGUGUUCAGACAACCUGUGUGAAUGUGACCCUGAAACUUGACGCUUUCUCUCGGGAAUGGGUGAGUUAUCCCCAGAGGCGCACGGAGGGCAGGAUGGAAAACCGGGGUGUGUAUGUGUGUAGGGGAUGGAAGUGAAGGAAAAAAAAAAAAAAAAAAAAUUGGGAUUGAGAAGUCGUUCGUAUGGCUCUGAGCAAGGGUUUGGGAGAGGGAUUUCUGGCUCGGCGAUGGGCAGGAGGUGGGAAGCCAGAAGGAGAGAGAUUCAGCUGUCGCGCAGCAGCGCUGAAAAGGCAAAUGUUUCCAGGUCACUGUAAAAAAAAAAAAAAAAAAAAAAAAAAAAAAAAAAAUUAGCUAUGUUGGUGUUUGUGUGUUUUGUUGUUGGUUUGUUUUUGGGUUUUUUUUUUUUCUUUUUGAAGUAGGAUAGAAAAGGGACUGUGAGUUUUGCAGGGCAGGUCAGAGACUUGUGGAACGGACGAUGCCUGUUGUCACGCAGGUGAGAAGAGAAUGAGAUUGCUGAAGUUUAAGAUGAGGAGAAGAGCUUAGAGGCUUUGGGCUCCAGAAUAGAAAACAAAGAUCACGGAGAACUGAGGAGUGUUUUGGACUGAAAGAGAAUAAUCAAGUGCCACCGGUGUUGCAAAGGGGACAGUGAACUGGCAUCUGACACCCAGUAUAAUUUGUCGUUUGAGGCUUUGUCUCGCCUUGAGUGGCAGUGGGUUUGUAGACAUUUAGUGUAGCCCUACUUGUCUUUGGAAGAAGUUGUUAGCUAGCCUUUUUUUUUUUUUUUUUUCUCUUUUCUUUUUUUUUCACCUUGUCAUCGGAGUCUCUGGAUUUCCCAGGAGGGUCCUUUGUGAAAUAGGUUAAUGAAAAGAGAAACCUCAGACUUUGGUUCUCGUUCAGUCCUCAACAUCGACAUCCGUGACCUUACUGAGCCAGAAAGGGUGUAAGUGAAACGCUUCCCGAAGGCUCGUUACCCCCGCCAGACCCACGUCUUACGGAGGGGAGCAGGGAGUUUCCUUCAAAAAGUGAUUUUUCCAACCCGUAGAGUUGGGAUGACACUUAGCGUUACCUCAUUUCUCCUCCACUCCCUCCGUAUCUCCGAACGGGCAGAUCGAUGUCCUGUGUAUCAGUACCAGUUAUUGACUCCCACAGCAGAAGCUGAGGAAGAGAAAGAUGUUACUGUCAUUCCCUGGUCCUCUCAUGUUCUCCAGCUCGCAAACAUUGGAAACUUUCCCAGACCUUACAGGUGCCUCCGAAAAAAGACAAAAUGGAGACUCCUGGCACUGUUGGGGCUUUAAAUGAAAACUUUUUUUGACAAAAAAGGCCAGUUGACUUGAAAAUGCCCAAAUGCUUCCAGUCUUUAAAACAGCUCCAGAGCUCCAUAACAUUCCUGGUUAGACAGGGACACCCUCUGGCUGCCCUUGACCCCCCACCCGCCGGGGAAAUCGGUCGCGCCGAGGGGGACGGAGGCUGAACUUUGUUCCCCGGGGUGGUCGUCUUGCUGUUGGAAUGAGUUGAGAAACAUAUCUUUACGUGGCACUUCCCUCGCGGCCAAGUAUUUCUUUUUUUUUUUCUUUUUUUUUUUUUUUUUUCCUUUUUUUUCCAGUUCUUGGAAGGGUGCCAAAGGCUUGUCCAAGUGAUUGCUAGUUUAGUGCUGGUAGGCACUUAAAUUUCUGGUCACUCGAUAAAGAACAAGAGGCCUGGGUGUUGUUAAAGCUGUUGAUACCAUAGCCAUGGUAGGUAAUCCAUAUUGGAUAUCCAUAAGGACCACGUGGAAAUAUUUAAAGAGAGAGAAAUAUAUAUAUAAAUAUAUAAUUAUAUACAUUUUAUCGUACAGAUUUUUCGUAAAAAAAAAAAAAAAAAUAAUAAUUUUUUUUCCAAGUUUGAUACUGUAAAUCUUUAUUAAAAGAAAUUGCCAGUCCAGGGCUCCCUGGGUGGUGACCUGGAGGGGAAUGAAAUGUCCUGGCUAAACUUCCACAGAGGGAUCAGAAUUGCAAGGUAACGUGGAGGGAGGAAUGACCCGAAAGCUGUUGAACCGCGUUGGAGACCCAGCUCCUCCACCCUCCGCCCUGGAGGGCCCUCCAGCUUGGGGUUGUCGCAUUGCAUUCCUCUGGGGUUCGGUUCCUUUCUGUCGUUGGUUUUUUGUUUUGUUUUGUUUUUCUUUUUUUUUUUUUUUUUAAUUAAUUUCCCCCCCCCCCUCCGUCCUGCCCUUGCGAGCCUGCCCCGGGGCGAGCGCCGCGUGGGGACCUGGCUGCGCCCGCGGCGUCCCCGCCGCCGCACCUCUCGCUUGCCGCUGCUGCAGUAGUUUGGAUGCCGGGGCUCCCUUCUUUGCCCCUUUUAAUUUGUGUAUGUGUGUGCGUGUGUGUCGUCCCCCCGACCCCCCACCACCCCGGCCCCGCUGAGGAGCGGGGGGCUCUGGAUUUGAGCGCUGGGAUCCUCUCCCUGGGGUCUGGCCUUUCUUUGGUCGCUCCCCAUCUGCAGCGGGAGGUGGGGACCCGCGGGCUGGGCGGGAGGCAGGAGAAGAGGAGAAGCGUCGGGCAGGGACCGGGGAGGGCCAUCUCUCUUCUUGUAGACCCCGUUUGCUGUGCUCUCUGUUGGGAGUGGGGAACCUUUCCCUCCAGGGCAGCUCCAGACCCCUUUGAAGCAAGCCAGCGUCUCUGCUCUUGCCCAACUCCAAGGCUGCCGGAGGAGACCCGCAAAAGCGCGAGCUUAGAGAGAGAGACCUGGGUGACACAGCGGCUGCGGGGAGGGGACAAGCUGUGGCAGGGCCGGGCGCGAUGCCACGGGAGUUACGGAGCGGUCAGGCCACCGGACGGCUCAGACCCGGGGAGGACGAGAAGGUGGCAUUUUUCUUAUUCUUUAUUUCUUUUUUUUUUUUUUUUUCCUCUCUCUCGAAUCAUUUAAACUUCAUUGUCAUGAUUGUUUUUAUUUAAAAAAAAAAAAAAAAAGAAAAAAGAAACAAAACAAAACCGAAAAACUUUUGUAACGUGGAUUUGUUUUCCUUCGUCUGUAUUUCAGUCUGCUGGGGUGUUUCCGUAGAUGGUGGAUACUUGCUUUCAUUUUUUUAAUGAUAGAAGUCUUCUGUUUUAAGUUGUUUUUUUUAUCACCAGCUCAUUCUAUCCUCUGUGGUUACUCAGUAAUUUCAUUUCAAUAUUUAUUUUUGUGCUGCUUUUUUAUUAUAAAAUAAAUUAUUGAUAUACCAAGCGAUGUGGAUUCCUGUUUGUAAGGCGAAUAGCCCUGUGUAUGUGUCCAUUACUUUCUCUUGACAGCCACAACGUAAUUUAUUGCUGUAAAUUUAGCUGCAGUGACUGGUUUUUUUGUACCUUUCCAAUAAAGCAUUUUCUGGUUUCAGA